rnacentral:rRNA from 1 species
UACGUAGGUGGCAAGCGUUGUCCGGAUUUACUGGGCGUAAAGAGCGCGCAGGCGGUCGUGCAAGUCGCGUGUGAAAGCCCCCGGCUCAACUGGGGAGGGUCACGCGAUACUGCUCGACUCGAAGGCAGGAGAGGGAAGUGGAAUUCCCGGUGUAGUGGUGAAAUGCGUAGAUAUCGGGAGGAACACCAGUGGCGAAGGCGACUUCCUGGCCUGUUCUUGACGCUGAGGCGCGAAAGCUAGGGUGGCAAACGGG